CGCCAUCUUGGAUAAGCCAUAUUUAAAUCGAGCGCCCCACUCAUUAUGAUGAAAUUUUCAUGACCGCCAUAUUUAAUUUUUCUGUUCCACUGGGGCCGCCAUCUUGGAUGCCGUCGACUCUGUUUCUGUUGUUUGUUCCUAGAUAGCGCCAGCAACGCUCUUGAUUUUUUUUUGUUCUUCUGGAGGCCGCCUUCUUGGAUACCGUUGACUUUGUGUCUGCUGUUUGUUCCUAGAGAGUGCCAGUGUCGCUCUUUACUUUAUUUUUUUUUUUUCUGGAGGCCACCAUCUUAGAUACCAUUGACAUUGUUUCUGCUGUUUGUUCAUAGAGAGCACCCGCGUCGCUCUGAUAUCACAUAAGGUCGAUGUUCCAUUACCUACCAUAGCUAUUAUGGUCCUUAUCGACAUAUUAAAUUUAAUUUUUUUAACAAAAUACAUUGGAAGCGCUGUGAUUCGAACCAUUGCAGCUCUGAUCUCUAGGUUGGAAAACAUUUGCCUUUAACCGCACAGCCAUCGAGAUAUUUACCAGACUGAGAAUAAAACAAGGUAUAUUGUCGCGGGUUGAAAUUUUGCAGGGUUGUUGAAAUCAAAUUUAGGGACUUUACUGACGGGACUCUGGGCUGGCUGCUCUGUUCACUCGUCAGCGCAAGUGGCGUGACCAUGUAAUUGGGGCACGGGGCCGGCGCGGCGCGCUGCGGGCUUGCAGAAUUUUGUUUGUUUGUUUGGCCGCGCGCUGGCGCAGCCACGGGCCGCAGUUACUGGGGCGCGCUGUCGUAACAAGCCGCGCGGUGUGGCCUGCACAUCGGGGUAGAGGGGGGGUAGUCUUCCCAGAUGUUCUAGUUAGUUGUUUAGUAAAUUUGACUUCAAUAACGAGCUUUUGUUAUGGUAGGCGCGGCAGGGCGCGCGAAUUUAAGCGCAAGUGAUUGGUGACUCGGGGCUCACUCAGGCGGAGGCUAUGCGUCUCACCUGUGGUCACGAGUUGUUAGUUCGUUCGUGAUGUAGGAAUUCAAGCUUUCGGGCGGAAGCUAUGGUCGACGCCAGAGGCCACGAGUCGUUUAAUUUAAGUUAGGUCAUAAUGUAGUCGUCAAGCUUUCGGGCGGAGGCUAUGGCCCUCGUCAGGGGUCACGCGUCAUAGUUUUUAAAAUGUAAUGUUCGUUCGGGAUUUCAAGGGCAGGAGAGGCCCCUACGUUAUUUUUUUUAAAGUAAUCGAUCAAGAAAGGCUUUUCGGAAAAUGUGAGUAUGGACUUAUCUUUGUUUUAAUUUUAAGUAUUAAUUAUGAUUUGAGGUAUUCGGAAGGACUAGGGAAGUGUUUAGUGAAGUUCUCUCAUUCUCUCUCUUGUAAGGUCGUUCAAUCGUUAAGGAAGUAAAGAGAUUAUUGUUUUAAAUUGUAAUCCCGCUAUUUAAAUGUUCUUUAAAAUGAUGUUGAGUAUUUGACUUUAAGAAUAAAAUAAUUUUAAUUAAGUAUUAUGUUAUUUUGCAAAAUCUCCUUAGUUCAGCUCUCACCAGACAUCCUGUACGGGAUGACGAACCUAUGAUCCUAGGUACAGUAAAGUAUUUUAUGAAGUUAAGACUAGUUGAUGCCAAGCGAGUUGUUUCUAUGUAAAGAGCUACGAUGCUCGCCCCCCCUCUGAAGGUGGAUCGUGACAGAAAUGGCGGUGGCACCGGCUAGGAACACGUGACAGAAAUGGUGGAGGCGCCGGGUAAGUUCUAUUUCUGGAGAGAGAGAGAGGUAGAUUUUUAUGUUUAUUAUUAAGUUAGUUUCAGCUUCUGAUAGCAGGUUAUUAAGAGUUUAAUUGAGGAGAGGAUUACGGAAUUUAAUCUAAGUGGAGGAAGUCUUUGAGAUUUUUUUUUGACGUAACAGAUGUUUAUUUGAGUAUACUUGUAAGGAUAAAGUUUAUAGUGAUAAGUUGUUUUAAGUCGUUGAGUUUAUCAGGGAUUUUUACGUGAGGAGAAUACGUUAUAAUUUAAAUGAUUAAUAGAGAUAAUGCAAGUGGUUUAAUUUAAUUGAAAUUAAUUUUAAGAUUGUAGGUUAAGAGAGUUAAAAUUUAAAAUAAAGUUUUUUUCGUAAAUAGGAAUUAUUUUCAAGUGAAGUUUGUUUUGCUGUCGUGCGCGUAGGAGACGAGACGUACGAAUUAAAUCAGUCGAGGGAAGGAUAAACGUUAGAAAGGAAUUAAAGAGAAAACGAGAGUUUAUGUAAAAGAGAGUUAUAGAAUUUAUAGUGAUGUUUUGUUUUAAUUAGAAAAAUGUUGAGAGUUGUUUCAGAACGACACGUCAGUGGACGUGGCAGAGUGAACACGUGACGGGGAGGUGCUGAGACCUAGCGGAGAACGGAGGAACCGCAAGCGAGGGUUGGCGCACCUGAUGGAAUUCGGUGACGUCACGGGCUCAUACGGAGACGUGGACAGGCCGUGACCUUGUUUUGAUCAGCUGUACGGUAACUUAGCGAUAAGAAAAUAGACUAUUGGUUAAAUAAAUUUAAAUUUAAGUGUGUUUUAGGAGAAGAGGAACUUUCAGUAUAUUCCUUAAGAUGAGCUGAGCAGCAGUCCAGUUUACAAGAUGACAAGAGUUCGAGAGACAAGAUACAAGAUCACUGAAACAAGAGCCAAGACUGAAGAUUCAAGAGAAGAGAAAGCUGGCAGCCAUGGACUUACAAGUGGAGAUUAAUAAGGUCAUGUAAAGUUUUAUUUUUUUUUAUGGAAGACAGUAACUGGAGUUUUUUUUGUUAUAAACAUUAUUUACAGAACUUUUUAGGUUAUAGUAAUGUAAUGGAACUAGUGAGUUGUGGUAGCUGUCAAAAAGAACUAAUACCUUAAGUUUAAUUUUUAAAGUUAAUUUUCUUAAUUUACAGAGGGAUUAGUAGUUUUUUUUAAACCUUAUUUAGGUUGGAAUUUAAAUACAAUAGCUUAUUAUAAAUGUGUACGAACAGUUCAAGUUCACCGUACUGAUAGGUAGGUCAGAUGAUCUUAUUGAUUUUGAUGAUUUGUUGUUUUGAGUUGAUUUUUAAGUGUUGUGAAUUAGACAAUGAAAUAGUUCUGAAAACUUAAAUUAUUUCAAGCUAAGAAAUAGUAAAGUUAAUUGUAACUCGAAGGACACCAGAAUUUAAUUUUUUUUUUUGAAUUAGUAAUGUUUGAAAAUUUUAUACUUUACAAGAAAGGUUAUAAACAAACAGAUCGGAUGGAACAAGGAUGCAGUAAAUCACAAUUUCAUUUAGAAUUAUUGAUUUGCUUUUGAGGUUAUGAAGGAAAAGUAGCUAUAAUUUAAAAAUUUGAAUAAAAAUGGUUUUUUUUUAAUUUGUUUGAAAUAGAAAGUUUAAAAGUUAAUUAGUCAUGAUCUAGGUGGGUGAUGGGGUGGGAAUUGGCCACUCUUUUUCCCUAUAACCUCCCUAACAUGGCCUUCUAUUACAACUAACAGAAAUAAAGAAGAAGAAAAAUGAAGAAUUAUUAGUUAGAAUGUUUUUUUCAUGAAGAUACCUGAUGAACUUUUUUUUAUUGUUGGGAAGAAUAGUAGCAAGAUUAAUCAGAUGUUUUACUCCGAAGAAGAAGAAGAAGAUAAAGCAGUUUUAUGACUCGACAAGCCAGAGAUUGGUGUUUCCCCUCUGCGCUUCUAUUGACUACGUUGUUUACUCUCAUGGGAUAGCUGGUUCGGCACCAUGGAGAGAGAUUGGUGGGCAUUGUGGUUGCCCCCAGAAGAAAAGAAGAGUAGAAGAGGUUAUGGGUGGGUCAUGUGAACUGACCUUCAACCCAGUUACUUCGUGGGGACUAUUUGCUGUAUAGAGAAGAUCAAGACUCAAGAGUUAGGGAAAAUCAUUGGAGGUCAUGUUUCCCUUCCUUAAGUUUUUCCUAUCAAAUUAUUUGCCUGAUUAGAUUAUGCUAAGGGUGGGAUACUUUAUGUUAGCAGUUGAAUUAAUUAAUUUUAUUUUUUUGUGUGUUUGCAUCCUUGCCCAUCGAUUGCAGUUUAGUAGUUAGUUUUGUAUUUGUCAGGCGUGAUGGUAAUGCCUGUUGAUGAUGUUUCAGAAUUGUAAUCUGUUCGUGAUGAGGAUGGCACAACUCCGAAGCAGAUGUGGGGAGAAGUUGUGAGCUGCCCUGGAAGCCAGUCCAGUAGCUGUUGGAGUUGAGUGGUGUUUGCUGAUGGCCAGCCCAGGGAGCUACUCUUCUCGACAACACUGACUUCGAGGAGUUGCACCAACCUUCACGAGAUAAGAGUUUAAUUAAUUGAAACACUGUAAGGACACUUAAUUUUUUUUUGAAGAACGAAAGAAGUAUGGUAAUAAACGGAAACUGAAAAAAAAAAAUAAUAAUUAUCAAGAAUUUGCACAUUGUUUAACGAAUACUGAGAAACUAAGAACAGUAAUUUAAUUUGUAAAGAGAGCUUCACUAACAGAACAAUUUUUUUAGAAUUGAGAACUCGAGCCUCUGAAGGUUCCUGUGAGAACAAACCAGAUAAAAGUUUUACAUUUAAUUUUAUGAAUACUUGUUGUUUUAAAAUAAAUCUUAUGCAGAAUCUAGAUGUAUGUUCAGACAGCAAGGAACUAAGAAAAUUAUUAUUUUUGUGAAAUGAGGAAUUUAUAGUUAUGGUUUAAUGGAAAAAGACAAUUUGUAAUUUUGAGGUAGCUCGAUGGGGCUCGAGCUCUGUGAGGGGAGGGUUAUGUCGCGGGUUGAAAUUUUGCAGGGUUGUUGAAAUCAAAUUUAGGGACUUUACUGACGGGACUCUGGGCUGGCUGCUCUGUUCACUCGUCAGCGCAAGUGGCGUGACCAUGUAAUUGGGGCACGGGGCCGGCGCGGCGCGCUGCGGGCUUGCAGAAUUUUGUUUGUUUGUUUGGCCGCGCGCUGGCGCAGCCACGGGCCGCAGUUACUGGGGCGCGCUGUCGUAACAAGCCGCGCGGUGUGGCCUGCACAUCGGGGUAGAGGGGGGGUAGUCUUCCCAGAUGUUCUAGUUAGUUGUUUAGUAAAUUUGACUUCAAUAACGAGCUUUUGUUAUGGUAGGCGCGGCAGGGCGCGCGAAUUUAAGCGCAAGUGAUUGGUGACUCGGGGCUCACUCAGGCGGAGGCUAUGCGUCUCACCUGUGGUCACGAGUUGUUAGUUCGUUCGUGAUGUAGGAAUUCAAGCUUUCGGGCGGAAGCUAUGGUCGACGCCAGAGGCCACGAGUCGUUUAAUUUAAGUUAGGUCAUAAUGUAGUCGUCAAGCUUUCGGGCGGAGGCUAUGGCCCUCGUCAGGGGUCACGCGUCAUAGUUUUUAAAAUGUAAUGUUCGUUCGGGAUUUCAAGGGCAGGAGAGGCCCCUACGUUAUUUUUUUUAAAGUAAUCGAUCAAGAAAGGCUUUUCGGAAAAUGUGAGUAUGGACUUAUCUUUGUUUUAAUUUUAAGUAUUAAUUAUGAUUUGAGGUAUUCGGAAGGACUAGGGAAGUGUUUAGUGAAGUUCUCUCAUUCUCUCUCUUGUAAGGUCGUUCAAUCGUUAAGGAAGUAAAGAGAUUAUUGUUUUAAAUUGUAAUCCCGCUAUUUAAAUGUUCUUUAAAAUGAUGUUGAGUAUUUGACUUUAAGAAUAAAAUAAUUUUAAUUAAGUAUUAUGUUAUUUUGCAAAAUCUCCUUAGUUCAGCUCUCACCAGACAUCCUGUACGGGAUGACGAACCUAUGAUCCUAGGUACAGUAAAGUAUUUUAUGAAGUUAAGACUAGUUGAUGCCAAGCGAGUUGUUUCUAUGUAAAGAGCUACGAUGCUCGCCCCCCCUCUGAAGGUGGAUCGUGACAGAAAUGGCGGUGGCACCG